GUCCUUGUGGUAGUGAAGAAGUCUCAUGAGAGCUGAUGGUUUCAUAACGGGGAGUUCCCCUGCACACACUCCCUUGCCUGCUGCCAUGUAAGAUGGGACGCUGCUCCUCAUUCACCUUCUGCCAUGACUGUGAGGCCUCCCACGCCAUGUGGAACUACAUGUCACUGGUUUUCUGCUGCCCCUUUUGGCUCCAUUCCACGUGCGUCCAUACAAACCGGCUGCUGCACCUGGAGGCUGAGCAGCCCACAGCUUCAUUGAGUCAGAGCCCCGUCUACACCAUCACGACGGCAGUGUGGCGUCUGCACAGAGAUACGUUUCUCUUGGCUUUCUGCUGUACUCCGGGCUGGCUGUUAUCAGCCCUGCUACUGUGAUGGUCAACAUUGAGUGUCAACUUGAUUGGACUGAAGGAUGAAGUACUGUUCCUUGGUGUGUCUGUGAGGAGCAUGUUGAUUUGGCAAAGAACAGUUUGGUAAAUUCUAAGAAACGGGUCAUUCCAGGUCCUCUAAGAUAACCUGGGUACUUCUCUUGACCAUUAUCCAAGGCUUCUUAUCCAAGGCUUCUCCUGGCCUUUGUCUAAAUGGAAAACAGGUGUUUUCAAGGCCCACACAGGGCUUCCAGGGCACAGCAGGACACUGGGUAAGCGGGAGAUGGAAACGUCACCCUUAUGGUCAUAGGCGAGUUUGUGGGACCCUAACACUUUGAAGCCAUGUGAUCACAUCACCGUCAUAUUUUAAAUCAGACCUGCCUAUUUCCACCUCUCAGUUUGCCUGUCUGAACAUUUCUGUUGUCUUUUUUUCUAAAUGUCUUUCUUAACACAUUGGUUUAAUACAAACAAUUACAUCUCCUGGGCACCCAUGAUGCAUAAGACAAUGUGAGAUAUAUAUAUAUAUAUUAAAUGCAUACUUUAUUACUUAUGUUUUAUUAUACAUAUUAAAUUGUAUGUACAGCAGGCCUUCAAUAACCAGAAGACUGUAUAUAUUUAUUUUCAUUUGUUAUGUAGUCUACUAUAUAUUAUACAUUUAUACGAAAUAUUUAUAUAAUGAAAUAUUUUAUAGUAAUUGUAUGUAUAUAACCUCUUGAUUAUAAGGCUUUGAAGAGGGAGCACCAUUUUGCCUGUUUCUCAUGUGUGAGCAGACGGACUCAGAAAGCACUGGUUCCAAUCCAGAUUUGCUGUUAAGCACAGCGCCCUCCACAACCAUCCAUGAAGUGGAGCAGAAGAACUUCCGCCUUUCAGAGCAAGCCUCCUGGGAUUCAUUGAUUUUGUAAUUCCUUGCCUCUAUUUGUGUUAUAAUACAUUGAAACCA
rnacentral:lncRNA from 1 species